rnacentral:rRNA from 1 species
GAGUUUGAUCUUGGCUCAGAUUGAACGCUGGCGGCGUGCUUAACACAUGCAAGUCGAGCGGUAACAGGCGUAGCAAUACGUGCUGACGAGCGGCGAACGGGUGAGUAAUGCUUCGGAAUCUUCCUCGUAGUGGGGAAUAACCUGGGGAAACUCAGGCUAAUACCGCAUACGAACUACGGUUGAAAGCAGGGGAUCGCAAGACCUUGCGCUAUGAGAUGAGCCGAAGUCGGAUUAGCUAGUUGGUGAGGUAACGGCUCACCAAGGCGACGAUCCGUAGCUGGUCUGAGAGGACGACCAGCCACACUGGGACUGAGACACGGCCCAGACUCCUACGGGAGGCAGCAGUGGGGAAUAUUGGACAAUGGGGGCAACCCUGAUCCAGCGACGCCGCGUGUGUGAAGAAGGCCUGCGGGUUGUAAAGCACUUUUA